UAGGGAAUCUUCCGCAAUGGACGCAAGUCUGACGGAGCAACGCCGCGUGAGUGAAGAAGGAUUUCGGUUCGUAAAACUCUGUUGUUAGAGAAGAACAGCGCAUAGAGUAACUGUUAUGCGUGUGACGGUAUCUAACCAGAAAGCCACGGCUAACUACGUGCCAGCAGCCGCGGUAAUACGUAGGUGGCAAGCGUUGUCCGGAUUUAUUGGGCGUAAAGCGAGCGCAGGCGGUCAAUUAAGUCUGAUGUGAAAGCCCCCGGCUCAACCGGGGAGGGUCAUUGGAAACUGGUUGACUUGAGUGCAGAAGAGGAGAGUGGAAAUCCAUGUGUAGCGGUGAAAUGCGUAGAUAUAUGGAGGAAAACCAGUGGCGAAGGCGACUCUCUGGUCUGUAACUGACGCUGAGGCUCGAAAGCGUGGGUAGCAAACAGG
rnacentral:rRNA from 1 species